UACAGAGGAUGCAAGCGUUAUCCGGAAUGACUGGGCGUAAAGCGCGCGUAGGCGGACCUGCAAGUCGGGGGUGAAAUCCCGGGGCUCAACCCUGGAAUGGCCUUCGAGACUGCCGGUCUUGAGUUCGAGAGAGGUGGGUGGAAUUCCGAGUGUAGAGGUGAAAUUCGUAGAUAUUCGGAGGAACACCAGUGGCGAAGGCGGCCCACUGGCUCGACACUGACGCUGAGGUGCGAAAGCGUGGGGAGCAAACAGG
rnacentral:rRNA from 1 species